rnacentral:rRNA from 1 species
GCGGCGAACGGGUGAGUAACACGUAGGCAACCUGCCUGUAAGAUCGGGAUAACUUGCGGAAACGUGAGCUAAUACCGGAUGUGCUUACGUCCAUGCCUGUGGACGAAAGGAAAGACGGAGCAAUCUGUCACUUACAGAUGGGCCUGCGGCGCAUUAGCUAGUUGGUGAGGUAACGGCUCACCAAGGCGACGAUGCGUAGCCGACCUGAGAGGGUGACCGGCCACACUGGGACUGAGACACGGCCCAG